UACGUAGGGGGCAAGCGUUAUCCGGAUUUACUGGGUGUAAAGGGAGCGCAGACGGCGGUGCAAGUCUGAUGUGAAAGGCUGGGGCUCAACCCCGGGACUGCAUUGGAAACUGUGCUGCUGGAGUGUCGGAGGGGCAAGCGGAAUUCCUAGUGUAGCGGUGAAAUGCGUAGAUAUUAGGAGGAACACCAGUGGCGAAGGCGGCUUGCUGGACGAUAACUGACGUUGAGGCUCGAAAGCGUGGGGAG
rnacentral:rRNA from 1 species